AUUUAGAAUUUUUUAUUUUAAUCUCUCUUUAGAAUCUAGAAGCACCGAGUCCUCGAGCUUCUCGCUCUCCUCGACGAUGGCAUCCCCAGGCUGCUCCUCGACAUUGGUUGUGGGUCAAGGCUCAGCGGAGACACAUUGUCAGAGAGUGGGCAUCAGUGGAUUGGUUUGGAUAUUUCCCAGGCGAUGCUUGAUGUGGCAUUGGAUCCGAUAUGAUCAUCUCUCUCAUCUAUUCCGACUGAUUCUCACUCGGAUUCCGGGUUGAAGAGGGAAGAUUGCAAGCAGGAAUCUUUUUCUCGCUCGGAUUCUGGAUUGGUUCUUGCUCGGAUUCUAGGUUGAUUCUCGCUCGGAUUUUGGAUUCGAUGCAAUCGGCAAAUUUUCAAAAAUGGUUUCUCAAAAAGAUUGAAUCUUUUUCUUAUGUGUGUAUUUGGAGGAUCUGGAAGGAGAAUAGGGAUGAAUGGUGGUGGUCGGUGUUGAGUGGGAGUGGGCGGGAAGGCUGCCGUCCUACUCUGAUGCGAGGGGGUGAACGGGUUUGAGAGAUUCCAGUUUGAGUAUUAAGGACAAGGCCUGUCAUUUUGUAAAAAUGACGAGGGUGUUAUUGGACUUUAGAAAGUUUCAUUAAAGGUGU